AUUGAACGCUGGCGGCAGGCCUAAUACAUGCAAGUCGAACGAGUGGCGGACGGGUGUGUAACGUAUGUGAAAUUGCCUGAUGGCGGGGGAUAACUACUGGAAACGGUAGCUAAUACCGCAUACCAUCGGAUGUGCCCAGAUGGGAUUAGCCAGUAGGUGGGGUAAAGGCUCACCUAGGCAACGAUCCCUAGCUGGUCUGAGAGGAUGACCAGCAACACUGGAACUGAGACACGGUCCAGACUCCUACGGGAGGCAGCAGUGGGGAAUAUUGCACAAUGGGCGCAAGCCUGAUGCAGCCAUGCCGCGUGUAUGAGGAAGGCCUUCGGGUUGUAAAGUACUUUCAGCGGGGAAGCGUUACCCGCAGAAGAAGCACCGGCUAACUCCGUGCCAGCAGCCGCGGUAAUAC
rnacentral:rRNA from 1 species